rnacentral:rRNA from 1 species
GACGAACGCUGGCGGCGUGCCUAAUACAUGCAAGUAGAACGCUGAAGAGAGGAGCUUGCUCUUCUUGGAUGAGUUGCGAACGGGUGAGUAACGCGUAGGUAACCUGCCUGGUAGCGGGGGAUAACUAUUGGAAACGAUAGCUAAUACCGCAUAAAAUUGAUUAUUGCAUGAUAAUUAAUUGAAAGAUGCAAUUGCAUCACUACUAGAUGGACCUGCGUUGUAUUAGCUAGUUGGUGAGGUAACGGCUCACCAAGGCGACGAUACAUAGCCGACCUGAGAGGGUGAUCGGCCACACUGGGACUGAGACACGGCCCAGACUCCUACGGGAGGCAGCAGUAGGGAAUCUUCGGCAACGGGGGGAACCCUGACCGAGCAACGCCGCGUGAGUGAAGAAGGUUUUCGGAUCGUAAAGCUCUGUUGUAAGAGAAGAACGGGUGUGAGAGUGGAAAGUUCACACUGUGACGGUAUCUUACCAGAAAGGGACGGCUAACUACGUGCCAGCAGCCGCGGUAAUACGUAGGUCCCGAGCGUUGUCCGGAUUUAUUGGGCGUAAAGCGAGCGCAGGCGGUUAGAUAAGUCUGAAGUUAAAGGCUGUGGCUUAACCAUAGUAUGCUUUGGAAACUGUUUAACUUGAGUGCAGAAGGGGAGAGUGGAAUUCCAUGUGUAGCGGUGAAAUGCGUAGAUAUAUGGAGGAACACCGGUGGCGAAAGCGGCUCUCUGGUCUGUAACUGACGCUGAGGCUCGAAAGCGUGGGGAGCAAACAGAAUUAGAUACCCUGGUAGUCCACGCCGUAAACGAUGAGUGCUAGGUGUUAGGCCCUUUCCGGGGCUUAGUGCCGCAGCUAACGCAUUAAGCACUCCGCCUGGGGAGUACGACCGCAAGGUUGAAACUCAAAGGAAUUGACGGGGGCCCGCACAAGCGGUGGAGCAUGUGGUUUAAUUCGAAGCAACGCGAAGAACCUUACCAGGUCUUGACAUCCCUCUGACCGCUCUAGAGAUAGAGUUUUCCUUCGGGACAGAGGUGACAGGUGGUGCAUGGUUGUCGUCAGCUCGUGUCGUGAGAUGUUGGGUUAAGUCCCGCAACGAGCGCAACCCCUAUUGUUAGUUGCCAUCAUUGAGUUGGGCACUCUAGCGAGACUGCCGGUAAUAAACCGGAGGAAGGUGGGGAUGACGUCAAAUCAUCAUGCCCCUUAUGACCUGGGCUACACACGUGCUACAAUGGCUGGUACAACGAGUCGCAAGCCGGUGACGGCAAGCUAAUCUCUGAAAGCCAGUCUCAGUUCGGAUUGUAGGCUGCAACUCGCCUACAUGAAGUCGGAAUCGCUAGUAAUCGCGGAUCAGCACGCCGCGGUGAAUACGUUCCCGGGCCU